AGUUGCAGGUGCGUGCGUAACGAGCACGCCUAACAGGGAAUCGGGUGAGAAUCCCGAACAGUCCCGCUGCUGUAUGUCCGUAGGAAUAGGCCACAUGCCAUUGACGCUACUUUAGACGUGUUGAGAAGGCGACCUGUUCGGAGCGUGAGAAAGAUCCUCACGGCUCGACGGAUGAGUCAGAAGACCUGCCUGUAACU
rnacentral:ncRNA from 1 species